UACGGAGGGUGCAAGCGUUAUCCGGAUUCACUGGGUUUAAAGGGUGCGUAGGUGGGUCUGUAAGUCAGUGGUGAAAUCUCCGAGCUUAACUUGGAAACUGCCAUUGAUACUAUAGAUCUUGAAUACGGUGGAGGUCAGCGGAAUAUGUCAUGUAGCGGUGAAAUGCUUAGAUAUGACAUAGAACACCAAUUGCGAAGGCAGCUGGCUACACAAAUAUUGACACUGAGGCACGAAAGCGUGGGGAUCAAACAGG
rnacentral:rRNA from 1 species